UACGAAGGGGGCUAGCGUUGCUCGGAGUCACUGGGCGUAAAGCGCACGUAGGCGGAUUGCUAAGUCAGGGGUGAAAUCCUGGAGCUCAACUCCAGAACUGCCUUUGAUACUGGCGGUCUCGAGUCCGGGAGAGGUGAGUGGAACUGCGAGUGUAGAGGUGAAAUUCGUAGAUAUUCGCAAGAACACCAGUGGCGAAGGCGGCUCACUGGCCCGGUACUGACGCUGAGGCACGAAAGCGUGGGGAGCAAACAGG
rnacentral:rRNA from 1 species